rnacentral:ncRNA from 2 species
GCGAAUUGUAUAAAUGACCUGUGAUC